AUUGAACGCUGGCGGCAGGCUUAACACAUGCAAGUCGAGCGGGGGAAGGUAGCUUGCUACCGGACCUAGCGGCGGACGGGUGAGUAAUGCUUAGGAAUCCGCCUAUUAGCGGGGGACAACAUCUCGAAAGGGAUGCUAAUACCGCAUACGUCCUACGGGAGAAAGCAGGGGAUCUUCGGACCUUGCGCUAAUAGAUGAGCCUAAGUCGGAUUAGCUAGUUGGUGGGGUAAAGGCCUACCAAGGCGACGAUCUGUAGCGGGUCUGAGAGGAUGAUCCGCCACACUGGGACUGAGACACGGCACAGACUCCUACGGGAGGCAGCAGUGGGGAAUAUUGGACAAUGGGGGGAGCCCUGAUCCAGCCAUGCCGCGUGUGUGAAGAAGGCCUUAUGGUUGUAAAGCACUUUAAGCGAGGAGGAGGCUACUUUAGUUAAUACCUAGAGAUAGUGGACGUUACUCGCAGAAUAAGCACCGGCUAACUCUUUGCCAGCCGCCGCCGUAA
rnacentral:rRNA from 1 species